rnacentral:rRNA from 1 species
UGUGUAGGCGGUUGUUUAAGUUUGGUGUGAAAUCUCCCGGCUCAACUGGGAGGGUGCGCCGAAUACUGAAUGACUCGAGUGCGGGAGAGGAGAGUGGAAUUCCUGGUGUAGCGGUGAAAUGCGUAGAUAUCAGGAGGAACACCGGUGGUGUAGACGGCUCUCUGGACCGUAACUGACGCUGAGACACGAAAGCGUGGGUAGCAAACAGGAUUAGAUACCCUGGUAGUCCACGCCCUAAACGAUGCAUAUUUGGUGUGGGCCGUUCAGUCGGUCCGUGCCGGAGCUAACGCGUUAAAUAUGCCGCCUGGGGAGUACAGUCGCAAGGCUAGAAA